CAAACAAUGUCGGUAGACCAUGUCCGUGUCAAAAGAAACCGCUUUUGGUUCUCUUAUCAAUGCGCUAAAACUGAGUGAGCCGUAAACGCGCAAACACU
ensembl:ncRNA F46F3.19 ncRNA